rnacentral:rRNA from 1 species
GCAUAUCAAUAAGCGGAGGAAAAGAAACCAACAGGGAUUGCCCUAGUAACGGCGAGUGAAGCGGCAACAGCUCAAAUUUGAAAUCUGGCGCAAGCCCGAGUUGUAAUUUGUAGAGGAUGCUUCUGGCCAGCGGCCGUUCUAAGUUCCUUGGAACAGGACGUCAUAGAGGGUGAGAAUCCCGUAUGUGACCGGCGCGCAGCCUUUACGUAGCUCCUUCGACGAGUCGAGUUGUUUGGGAAUGCAGCUCUAAAUGGGAGGUAAAUUUCUUCUAAAGCUAAAUACCGGCCAGAGACCGAUAGCGCACAAGUAGAGUGAUCGAAAGAUGAAAAGCACUUUGGAAAGAGAGUUAAAAAGCACGUGAAAUUGUUGAAAGGGAAGCGCUUGCAACCAGACUUCGUAGCGAUGUUCCGCUGGUCUUCUGACCGGUCUACUCAUCGUCGCGAGGCCAACAUCGUCUGGGCCCGCUGGAUAAGACCUAAGGAAUGUGGCUUCUCUUCGGGGAAGUGUUAUAGCCUGUGGUGAUGCAGCGUGGCUCGGGCGAGGUCCGCGCUUCGGCAAGGAUGUUGGCGUAAUGGUUGUCAGCGGCCCGUCUUGAAACACGGACCAAGGAGUCUAACAUCUAUGCGAGUGUUCGGGUGUCAAACCCCUACGCGUAAUGAAAGUGAACGGAGGUGGGAAGCGCAAGCUGCACCAUCGACCGAUCCUGAUGUCCUCGGAUGGAUUUGAGUAAGAGCAUAGCUGUUGGGACCCGAAAGAUGGUGAACUAUGCCUGAAUAGGGUGAAGCCAGAGGAAACUCUGGUGGAGGCUCGCAGCGGUUCUGACGUGCAAAUCGAUCGUCAAAUUUGGGUAUAGGGGCGAAAGACUAAUCGAACCAUCUAGUAGCUGGUUCCUGCCGAAG